CGGAACGGGUGAGUAACGCGUGAGGAACCUGCCUCAAAGAGGGGACAACAGUUGGAAACGACUGCUAAUACCGCAUAAGCCCACGGCUCGGCAUCGAGCAGAGGGAAAAGGAGCAAUCCGCUUUGAGAUGGCCUCGCGUCCGAUUAGCUAGUUGGUGAGUAACGGCCCACCAAGGCGACGAUCGGUAGCCGGACUGGGAGGUUGAACGGCCACAUUGGGACUGAGACACGGCCCAG
rnacentral:rRNA from 1 species